rnacentral:tRNA from 1 species
AUUAAGAUGUCUGAUUAAAGUAAUAAAUUGUAAAUUUAUUUAAGAAUAAAAAUUCUCUUAAUA